GUCCUCAUUCCCCUCCCCGUUACCCUUUGGUUUUCUUUAUAGCACUUACUGCCAUCCACUAAAUAAUGCAUUUAUUUGCAUAUUAGCUUAUGGAAUAGAGGCUCCUUGAGGGAAGCAGCUCCGUCUCCCACUUCUACAGCCACAGAGCACGCGACUUAAAGGGAAUUUUGGCACGGAGCUUAGUACCCGGAUGAGGACUGGUGGGAGGGAAUAGAGGGAGGCACCCGGAAGGGGCGGGGCUUGUUGUGGGAGCCUCCGGAAGGGGAGGUGCCAGAGGCUUCUAAAGGCUUUGGUCCUGGGGUGGUGUUUCCAUGGUUGAGGUAGAGAGAUGGUCAAGGGCGGCGGGCUGUGGGUGACACUACGUGCAGCGGCUCAGGCUUGGAGCCUGUGGCCGACUCUCCGUUCAGGCCUGUCCAGCCGGAGCAGCUGGGCAGGACCCGCUUCUGUGAGCCCUAAUGGGCUCUGUUCCGGUUAGAGGCUUGCUCGUCAACAGGUGGAAUAGAAGGUGUGCCCUGAGGAGCUGGCCCGAGAAAAGAGAUGCACUGAAUCUUGUAAUACCUGCCGAUAAGAAAGACAUGGGAAAGUUAGUGGAUGUGUACAAGGUGCUGAAGCAUCUAAAUCAAGAUGGGUCAUUAGCAGCGAGCUUUGUUCUUCAGGACCCAUUCAUUGGUAAGCUGGGCUGUGUGUAUCUGUGUGUGUGCAUGUGUACACUUGGGUGUACACAUGUGUACAUGAGCUUUCCCUUAUAUUUCUGAAUCUCUUUCUGAGCUUGGGAGGGUAUUUAUGAAUAUAUUCCUUGAAACUUUAUUAGAUCUCACAAGUAAAACUAUCAAGACCUGGAGAAUUUUUUAAAGACUGGUAUUUGAUGUAUUUCAUUUCUUUAAUGUUUUUUGGUCUCUUUAAGCUUCUUGUUUCUUCUUGUACCAGCUUUUGUCAUUUUGUAUUUUCUAGAUUUUGAAAUUUAUUAGACUGUACCUGUUCCUAUAUUUAUUCCUUUAUGACAUUAAACUUAUUAGUAUUAUUGAUUAUUUUAAUUCAUAUUUAAAAGAUUUUUAAAAUUGAUUUUGAGAGAGACAGAGUGUGUGUACACACAUGUUUACAUGAGUGGGGGGAGGGGCAUAGUCAGAGAAGAAUCUCAAGCCGACUCCACACUGAGUGUAGAGCUCAAUGCAGGACUCAAUUUCACAAGUCUGAUUAUCAUGACCUGAGCUGAAAUCAAGAGUUAGACACUUAACUGACUGAGCCACCCAUGAGCCUCUGAUUAUUUUCAUUCUUAACUCACUGCUGAUCUAUAUCUUUUUUUUUCUUGACCAUUUUGACUAUUAAAAAAGAACAUGGGAUCCCUGGGUGGCGCAGCGGUUUAGCGUGAUCAGGGCGUGAUCCUGGAGACCCGGAUCAAAUCCCACGUCGGGCUCCCGGUGCAUGGAGCCUGCUUCUCCCUCUGCCUAUGUCUCUGCCUCUCUCUCUCUCUCUCUCUCUCUCUCUGUCUCUCUGUGACUAUCAUAAAUAAAUAAAAAAUAAAAAAAAGAAAAAAAGAAAAA
rnacentral:lncRNA from 1 species